AUUGAACGCUGGCGGCAGGCCUAACACAUGCAAGUCGAACGGGUGGGGGACGUGAGAGGAAUGUCUGGGAAACAUCAUGCUGGAGGGGGAUAACUACUGGAAACGGAAGAUAAGACCGCAUACCACUGAAUGUGCCCAGCUGGGAUUAGCUAGUAGGUGGGGUAAAGGCUCACCUAGGCGACGAUCCCUAGCUGGUCUGAGAGGAUGACCGGCCACACUGGAACUGAGACACGGUCCAGACUCCUACGGGAGGCAGCAGUGGGGAAUAUUGCACAAUGGGCGAAAGCCUGAUGCAGCCAUGCCGCGUGUAUGAAGAAGGCCUUCGGGUUGUAAAGUACUGUCAGCGGGGAGGCGUUACCCGCAGAAGAAGCACCGGCUAACUCCGUGCCAGCAGCCGCGGUAAUUC
rnacentral:rRNA from 1 species